UUUAUCAUUUAGGGAGCUACCAUUUGAUUUUUAUGGGGGGGCUAGGAUGAAAUUUGAAAAAAAUAGGCAGGACAGGAGUUUUUGAGUAAAAAAAAAAGGCAGGAUGAGACACUUUGCAAAAAAAAAAGGCAGGAUGACAAUUUAGGUAAAAAAGUCAGGAUAAACUAAUAAAAAAAAAGGCAGGACCGAAUAGAGUGAAAAAUAAAAAGGCAGGACAGAGAUUACAACUAAAAAAAAAUGCAGGACAAAAUUUUUCAUCCUAGCCCCCCCAUAAAAAUCAAAUGGUAGCUCCCUUA
rnacentral:lncRNA from 1 species